UACGUAGGGUGCAAGCGUUACUCGGAAUCAUUGGGCGUAAAGCGCAUGUAGGCGGCUUUGUAAGUCUGAUGUGAAAGCCCUGGACUCAAUCCAGGAAGUGCAUUGGAUACUGCAAGGCUAGAGUACAAGAGAGGUGGACGGAAUUCCUGGUGUAGAGGUGAAAUUCGUAGAUAUCAGGAGGAACAACAGAAGCGAAGGCGGUUCACUGGAUUGUAACUGACGCUGAGAUGCGAAAGUGUGGGGAGCAAACAGG
rnacentral:rRNA from 1 species